GUGUCGCACGGACUGACUGACACCAACUAUCUACAGCUGACACACCUGUAGAUAGUUGGUGUCAGUCAGUCCGUGCGAGCA
rnacentral:pre_miRNA from 1 species